GAGUGAAGGGGACGCGAAGAUCCUCUGGCGGUGACUUCGGUCGCCUCCCUGGACGUCGAUCCAGGCCGCCUGAGGGGAGCGAGUGGCGAGACCGACCCGGACAUGG
ncrna:unclassified sequences c-di-GMP-II-GAG riboswitch